UCAGCUUUGUUCAGUGAAUGAACAACGUUGUUGUUGCUGGGAGUGUUGAUGCUCUGGGUGUUGUUCUUGUGUUCAUCUUCACCAUCAGAGCAUCUCUGAGGUGGUUUGCUGCUGCCAUUUCUGCACUGAACCUGUUGGGCUUCGAUGGGCGUUUUCUUGGAUUUCCUAGAAAAAGCCCAUCUAUAAAGCCUCCCUCUCUUCUUUUCUACUCUCUCAGGGACAGGCGUUGGUGACAUACAAGCAGAAGGAUCUUGGACUGCAAUGCAGCUGUGAGAUGUGCACUGCCCCAUUGCGUCAGAUCACUCGCUGAUGUUCUGUCACAAACUUUUAUCGCAAAUCGACUGAACUUUUAUAGCACACAGAUCAGUGAAAAACUACAAAUCAAGUGAUAUAACACACAGACAGAGUGAUAUAACACAAUUUGAGCGACUUUUCACCACAGAUGUACUACAAUACUAGUCAGAUCGAUUGAUACAGCAGGAAACAAAUGAACUAAAAUUCAGCGCUCGCGGAGUUCCAUAUGUAGGCUUGGGCAGUGACGUCACAAGUGCUGACGCGUCGGCCGGUUGCCAAGGGAUUUUUUCGAAUGUUUUGGUCACGAGAAUAUACAGAUACAAACGAUAACUGCUAUUGUUUACACAUAAAAUAAAUAUAUUUAUCAACUUUAUCUUAAAACAUUUCUUCUUUCAAAAGCUUCAUGUCACGAUUACUACAACUUCUGAUGUCAAACACGGAGCUCGACGAUCAUAAUCGACUCGAGGUUAAAAGCGUACUGUCAUUCAUAAACAUUUCUGUUUCAAUGAUAAUGAUUCAAAAGAAAUAAAAUGAUUUAAAAGAAAUAAAGUGUCAGUAGUGAUUGAUACUUGACCAAAAUUAUAAAGAAUGAUGGAAAACUUCGAUAUUAUGAUGUUCUCAUGAAGCUUGAAACUUCUUGCCUGAAUUCAGCGACAGUUUUCAUGGCCAAACUUGCAUGGCGUAACGUUAAUUAAUCUAAUUUCAACAUAUUUGUUGAAUGGUUAUUCUGAUAUUUAUCGAAACCUUGACAUUUCAUCUGAUCAUUUGUGAGAUUUAUUUUAUUUGUAUAUAUAAACAUGUCUGUAUUAAAGUAAAAAUGACUUUCGAAACACGUCUUUCGAAUGGAGAUAAAUAAGUACUUUUUGGUGUCUUGUUCAUCGUAUUCAUUUUCAUAUAAAAGCAACAGAACUUAAAUUACAUCCAGUUUAUCAGAAACACAAUUAUUAAUCCAGUAAUUGGUCAAUUAUUUUGACAAUUGAGUAAUCUUUUUUUUUUUUUUUUCUGUGGCAAUAAAAAUAGACCUAAGUGAAUAAUACCUUUUAAAAUGACUUAAAAUACAUACAUAAUAACAACAACGAGGCAAUAAUAAUUGGUUUACAUAAAGUAUCAAAAGCAAGUAAUGUUAUGGUUUUAUUGAACAACACUGUUAAAAUACAUAAUAUAAUAUAUAUAUAUAAUAAUCAACAUUAUGUAUAAUAACAAAUGCCUGCAGAGGGUGCCAACGGCCUGGUCGUUGUUGUUGUUACACUGGCCAAACAACAUGUAGCUAAUUCAAGUGUCCACUUAAUCUUUAAUAUUUGGCAACUUCUUUACGAUAGAAAUAUAGUUCUUUAACAAGAACAUGUGGAUAUCAAAACAUGCAAACAAGGGAGCAAGGGUUUAUACAUUUAACAGCUUUUCACCUCAACAAAAACAUAUAGUCACGUUUUAAUAUUUCGUCACAUCCCUAAUGUUCAUAUUAGAGGAGAACCAUAUCAUUUACACAAAAAAACGGCUUAAAGCUUCAUCUUGUUAUUACCGAAUCACCAGUUAAUCAUGAAUUAUGUCAAGCACAUAACUGGUUGAUAACAAGUAUCAUUGUGCAUCCCAUUCACAGGUCUGACACCAACGCCUGACCCUAAUCCUGUCCCAGGCCCAUCAGGGAUCGAGACCUUGCCUCAGUCAGGUUCAAGCAGAAUCGGCCCAUCGCCUGGCGAUGUUCCAUGUUUAAAAAAAUGUUUUGAUUGACAGUUAGAUUCAUUUACCUGCCUGAGCCAUAUGUGCAGAGUACAUAAAGUGCAAAGUAAUGUGGAUUCUGAUUUCAGAUUACUUCAUCUUAUAGUAGCUGAUCUGAAUUGAAAAGACCCAUCCACAUUCUUUUUAUUCUGUCUGCUCAGGCACAACAAGAAUCAUACUUACAUUAACAUGCUGUCAUUUAUCUUUCAGUACAUUCAAAAUAUGAUGUGCUUGGUGAGCUGGGACGGGGAUCCUUCGGCUGUGUCAAAAUGGGAAUUCAGAAGUCUGAUCACAGAAAGGUCGCCAUCAAAUUCAGAAAUAAAACUGGAUAUGAAGAAGAUGAGUUCUUCCUGGCUAUCCCUACCAAAUCAUUUUAGAAGUGGUUCUGAUGCAGCUGAUGAAGGAACCUCCCAGCCCCCACGUUAUACAAAUACUUGAGUGGUUUGAAGACUCAGAACAGACAAUUCUGUUUAUGGAGUAUCCUGAGCCUUGUGAACGCUGAACUCUUUCCUUAGUCGUUACGGUGGACGCCUAGGAGAGGGUGUUGUGCGGAUGCUAAUGGCUCAGAUAGUUCAAUCCGCAAAUGAGUGUAUCGACCAUGAAGUUUACUGAUUGUUUUCUUAGCGUUUUUGUACAUUUUAUUGACAGACUCACAAGUAGAAAAAGACUGGAAAUUAAGGGCAGAGAGAGAGGAAGUAGCAAACCUCUAGUAGCCUCUAAACAUAUGUAAUUUAUGCUUUCUCCACUGAAUGUGAUUCACUGCUGUACUGUUGGCUUCACACUAAACAUGUCUUGUUUACAGAACCAGAAGGACACCCGAGGCCUGACACCCGGAUACCAUUAAGCUUGGCCCUUAAACAGACUCGCUCGUCUCUGGGUUGUAUUCUGAGCCAGGUGGCACAUUUAGCCCUCACCAGUGUGCCCACAGAGCCCACCUUGAACUUCCUGUACGGACUGAAAUGUCGCACCUCUGCGACCACAUACUGCUGGAAGAAAGGGUGGUUUAAGGCAUCUGUGGCAGUGUAACGUGUCUCGGGAUUCACCACCAACAACCUGGAGAUCUGAAAGUUUAAACAGCCACAGGUCUGCACCAGACGCACCAGGUCUUUGACAGUGUCUGAACGGUCGUCCCACUCCGGAGAGGUGAACUCGUAACUUCCUGCUAGGAUCAUGCGCAGCAUUAGCAUCUGCUUCCUGUGCCAGAAGGGAGGGGAACCUGCAAGAAGGGUGUACAUGAUCACCCCUGCACUCCAGCUGAAAAAGACAAGAAACG